GACCGGCCAGCCGGCGGGCGAGAGACGCGCACGCACGUGGGCACUAUUUUUGCAGCGGGCCGCGCGCAGCCCCGCACCCCGGCAGCUUAUGAAGCUCCUACGAGCCGCUCCUCGGAGCCGCCCCCCGGCCGGAUGCGGAGCACCUGUGUCGGCCCCGCCCGGGCCCUCGCCUCCGCCCCCUCGCGCCCCGCCCCUCCUAGCAGGCCGAGCCGAGGAGGGCUCCGCCGCCCACCCGGAACCCGGCGGGGACUGCCGCCGCUGCUAGCCACAGCUGCCCCCUGGGGGGCCAGAGACCUAAGCCUGAGCGCGCCAUCACCUAAGUGACCCUUGCCGAGUCACUGUCUGCCCUGGGCCUCAGUUUCCCUCUUAACGAAAGAGGGCACGAUUUACAAGCCCCUGCGAGCGGCGGCGAUCGCUUCGUCAGUAGAGCCUCGUGUCCGCGCUCCUUCUCUUCCAGUGAUCUCUCCAGGGCGAGAGCCUGCCCUGGCAUCCUUGGUCGGAACUGUAGCCCCUGGGCUCCAGGAGGCGCACUCACUUUAGACCCUCUGCUCCGUGCGCUGCAGAGGGGGCCGCGAGAGUCAGGAAGUUCCAGAAAGUUCCAAAGACAUCACUGGUCCUCUUUGGACCGGAGUUCUCCGGAGAAACCGCUUCCGGCGCUCCUGACACACUGAGAUAGAAAGUUUCACAGAAAUAGGGCAAGGGAUAGGGCGAGGGCUCCAGGGCAGGCGUCCUAGGGCACCUGGCGCAGGGGCGGACCGGAAACCCCAGGCAAACGCAGAGUCGGAGAUGGCAUUCCAGGCGGAAGAUCAAGCAAAGGCAGAGAGGGAGGACGGCACCGAGCGGCUCCCUCUGACCAGGACUGAGGAUGAUGCGACCUGAUACCGCCGGAGGGAAGCCUGGGCCCGCUGAGCAAGAUAAGAACCUGAAACCCAGAAUAGUGCCCAAGGGAGCGGGUGUCUGGAGGCCCUGUCAUAUUUCAAAACUGUCAACCAUAAGAAAAUGAAGGCAUCUUUCAAGAGACUUGGAACAGAAACUUCUGCUGCCUAAAAUCUCUCUCCCUAAACUUUCUGUUGCAGAUGAGACUGAAGCUCAAAGAAGUUAAGUAACUUGCCAAAAGACUCCCAGCUAAAAGUGUGAGAGCAAAGACUCAAACCAAGGCAGUCUUCUGGUUUCAGAGCCUGAAGUCUUAACCAGGAGGCAGAGAGCUAAAAGAAGAGAGAAGUUUGAUGGGAGAAAAUAAUUUCCUGGUUGCAAAAGAUAAGAAAAGGAAUUCACUCAGGAACUCAAGACCACAAGGUAGACACACACAGUCUCUGCUCAAGUUUUGCCAAGCUCUGUACAGAAGAAACCAUGUUCUUUGUUUUUUCAAGUUCCUUUUAAGUGGGAUAAAAAAGUGGAUUGGGGCCAGGCGCGGUGGCUCAUGCCUGUAAUCCCAGCACUUUGGGAGGCCUAGGCAGGCAGAUCAUGAGGUCAGGAGAUCGAGACCAUCCUGGCUAACAUGGUGAAACCCCGUCUCUACUAAAAAUACACACAAAAAAUUAGCUGGGCAUGGUGGUGGGCGCCUGUGGUCCCAGCUACUUGGGAGGCUGAGGCAGGAGAAUGGCAUGAACCCAGGAGGCGGAGCUUGCAGUGAUCCGAGAUCUCACCACUGCACUACAUCCUGGGUGACAGAGCGAGACUCCAUCUCAAAAAAAAAAAAAAAAGAAAGAGUGGAUUGGCCCCACCUUUCAUCGUACACAAAAGUAAGUUAAAAAUACAAUUCUGAAAAGCUUUACUUAGAAUUUUUUCAGAAGAAAAUAUAGGAGAAUUUUUUUUUACCUCAGCCCGUGGAUGAAUUUUGUAAACUUGGAAAAAUAAGAUUGGAACAAUAAGCACAGGAUAUAAAGGAAGACAAUACAUUUGACCACACUGGAAUUAAAAACUUUGGUUUACUAAAAGAGUUUGUUUGUUUG
rnacentral:lncRNA from 1 species